UACGGGGGGGGCAAGCGUUGUUCGGAAUUACUGGGCGUAAAGGGCUCGUAGGUGGCCAACUAAGUCAGACGUGAAAUCCCUCGGCUUAACCGGGGAACUGCAUCUGAUACUGGAUGGCUUGAGUUUGGGAGAGGGACGCGGAAUUCCAGGUGUAGCGGUGAAAUGCGCAGAUAUCGGGAAGAACACCCGUGGCGAAGGCGGCUCUCUGGGACGGUACUGACGCUGAGACGCGAAAGCGUGGGGAGCGAACAGG
rnacentral:rRNA from 1 species